AGAGUUUGAUCAUGGCUCAGGAUGAACGCUGGCGGCGUGCCUAAUACAUGCAAGUCGAACGAGGUGCUUUGUAGCAAUACGAGAGUAUCCUAGUGGCGAACGGGUGAGUAACGCGUUGGUGACCUACCCCAAAGUGUGGGAUAACAGUCCGAAAGGAUUGCUAAUACCGCAUGUGGUCUUCGGAUUUAGAAACUGAUGACUAAAGGAGCAAUUCGCUUUGGGAGGGACCUGCGUCCCAUCAGCUAGUUGGUGAGGUAAUGGCUCACCAAGGCUACGACGGGUAGGGGACCUGAGAGGGUGACCCCCCACAAUGGAACUGAAACACGGUCCAUACACCUACGGGUGGCAGCAGUAGGGAAUAUUGCACAAUGGGCGAAAGCCUGAUGCAGCAACGCCGCGUGUGCGAUGAAGGCCUUCGGGUCGUAAAGCACUUUUCUGGGAGAUGAGCAAGGACAGUAUCUCAGGAAUAAGUCUCGGCUAACUACGUG
rnacentral:rRNA from 1 species